rnacentral:rRNA from 1 species
UACGAAGGGGGCUAGCGUUGCUCGGAAUCACUGGGCGUAAAGCGCACGUAGGCGGCUUUCUAAGUCAGGGGUGAAAUCCUGGAGCUCAACUCCAGAACUGCCUUUGAUACUGGGAGCUCGAGUCCGGAAGAGGUGAGUGGAACUCCGAGUGUAGAGGUGAAAUUCGUAGAUAUUCGGAAGAACACCAGUGGCGAAGGCGGCUCACUGGUCCGGUACUGACGCUGAGGUGCGAAAAGCGUGGGGAGCAAACAGG